AGUGAACGCUGGCGGUAGGCCUAACGCAUGCAAGUCGAACGGCAGCACAGUAAGAGCUUGCUCUUACGGGUGGCGAGUGGCGGACGGGUGAGGAAUACAUCGGAAUCUACUUUUUCGUGGGGGAUAACGUAGGGAAACUUACGCUAAUACCGCAUACGACCUACGGGUGAAACCAGGGGAUCUUCGGACUUUGCGCGAUUGAAUGAGCCGAUGUCGGAUUAGCUAGUUGGCGGGGUAAAGGCCCACCAAGGCGACGAUCCGUAGCUGGUCUGAGAGGAUGAUCAGCCACACUGGAACUGAGACACGGUCCAGAAUCCUACGGGAGGCAGCAGUGGGGAAUAUUGGACAAAGGGCGCAAGCCUGAUCCAGCAAUACCGCGUGGGUGAAGAAGGCCUUCGGGUUGUAAAGCACUUUUGUUGGGAAAGAAAAGCAGCAGGUUAAUACCCCGCUGUUCUGACGGUACCCAAAGAAUAAGCACCGGCUAACUUCGUG
rnacentral:rRNA from 1 species